CACCUCACCCAAGUGAAUCUCCCACCUUGACCUCCAAAAGUGCUGGGAUUACAGGCGUGAGCCACUGCGCCCAGCCAAGUUACAGAUCUUGAGAGGAGCUUAUCCUGGAUUAUCCAAGUGGGCUGUCAACACCUGUAUGUCUCACCUCUGCAUCUUAUAAGAGUGAUGCAGAGGUGUCUAGAGGGAAACUAAACAGACACAUUGAGCAAAAGGCCACGGGAGGACAGAGAUAGGGAUUGGGGUGAUGCAGCCACAAGCCACCAGAAACUGGAGGAGGCAGGCACAGAUUCCCCUGGAGCCUCCAGAGAGACUACAGCCCUGCCAACAUCUGCAUCUCAGACUUCUGGUCUCCAGAGCUGUGAGAAUCAGUUUCUCUUGUUUGCAGAUACUGAAGUUGUGGUUAUUCUGGCAGCCCCAGGAGACUAAUAGUACUGCCUAAGAACGUUAGAGUUUGGCUUAUGUUACCUCUACCUAAAAAGGUCCUGGUUUAUACAGUAUUAAGUCUGCCCACAGGAAUGAGUCAUGCCUUGUUCCUCCACAUCUGAAUGUCAGCCUCCUUGUCCUGCCAGGGAGCUGUCACUUUCGUGCACGGGCUUUGGGAGACUGCAGUCCUUCCCCCAGACUACCCUCCCGUGACUGGCUGUCUGUUACCUGUUGCCUGGCAGGUGGCUGGGAGUGGGGGUGAUGCAAAAAGGCAGGUGCUGGACACGUCCGUGGAUUUAUUGCUGGAAACUUCAUGGCUCAUGAACGCCCAUCCUGGUGUGGAGCCCAGUGAUUAGGUGCAAGGUUGAAGUGGAAACCACUCACCGCCCACCAAGUGAGUCAGGCUCACAGAACCAGCGCAUUUUUGUAUGAAAUGUGGACACAGGUCAGUGAAAUUUCCAGAGGGCCAGAAGGACAGGGGCUGUGCAGGGCUUUAGAAGCAGUCCUUCGACUGGACAGCAGCUUGCCUGUGAGCCUGGCACGCGUGUGAGCUGAAGCAGAAGGGCACGGCCCUGCCUCGCCAGGCCUGGGAAGGCCUGGAUUAGAGGAUGUCUGGGGAAGCUGCUCUGCUCGGGGCAAGUCUCACCACACCCAAAUGAACCUUCAGUUCAAGGCAAAAGAGAGAGAGAAAUUAAGAAGAUGAGGACACACACUAGAAAAUAAAACACAAACUCAGAAUGGAGUCUUCAAGGGACAGAAACCAAAUGUGGAAGGAAAGGCUUACAGGGCACGCCAAUGGGCCCUGGCAACUCCGUCCAGCACAUUUGAGACAGCCAUUGGGAUCUUCCAGGCUAACCACUUUCUUGUUUCCGGGACACAGGGUGGAAAGGAAUUCUUGCUGGGGGGGCUGCAGGGCGUGUCUGUUCAAACGUGACCCAUAUGGAUGCCAAGCAUGACACCACUGUUGUUGACAGAAUUUGCCAAAAUGAAGACCAGCUGGUGAUAAGUUUUAAGGAAAACAAGGUUCAGUUUUCCCUUGAUUACACAGUAGUUGCAUUCCUGGAAAACUGGCUGUAUAUUAAACCAGCUCUUAAAUACUUUGUGUUUAUAACUAGGUUAGGUUCUGCACGCAAACAACUGGGAACAGACUUUUUCAUGCUCACAAAUAUCCAGCAGGCCCACCAGGCAUGCUGCCCACUCAGGGCCUCUGCACCGGUCACCCCUUUGUAAUGCUCUUCUCUCAGACCUCCACGUUCCUUCCUGCUCCCUCCACCCGUCCUUCUGCUCAGCUGUCAGCAGAACAGCUUUCCCAGCCACACCACGUUAAGCAGCAAUCCCUCCAGGACUUUCUACCCCCAGCCCUACUUUUACCUUUCUUCAUAGCGCUUUUCUGACGUUUUAUUAUCAUCUCCCCUGCUAGGUUGUGAACUCCUGGAGGACAUAGCUUUUUGUCUGUUUUGUUCAGUGCAAAAUCUCUGGUCCUGAUGCAGUGCCUAGCCCUGAUGUGUUCAAUAAAAUUUUGUUGAAGAACUAGGUGAAUAAAUCUAGAGAAUAAUUCACUUAAGCAGGGUAAGAAAAGAUACCUAAUUCUACUGCCUUUGGCCUAUCAUGCUCUGUUUCACAAAGUCAUUCAGGGACCCAGGCUCCUUCAGUUCUGUUGUAUUACCACCUUCGACAUAAGCCUUCAAGGUUGAUGGAGAGAGUGGAAGAGACACUCACUCUGAAUGGCCUUGAAGUGACACAUCAUUGGUGAGGGCUGGUCCCAUGGCUUUCCCCAGACGCCAUGAGCCCAGGCCAUGCAGUUGAAGCUGUGGACUCAGGAAGAAGAAAUUGAGUGGUGCCCCUCCCUCAAGUUGGUGGCUUUGCAGUUUCCAGGCACCAGUGGGAAGACCACACCCUUCAUUGGAUGGUCACCACCAGGCCCUCACUGUGUUCAACUAAGUCUCACGGGGCCUUCGUUGCUCACCUGCACCUCUUACUGCUUGGGGACUAGAAGCAGUUGGCUUUUCCAGAAUUGCAAGGCCCUGGUUGACGUCUUUCCACCCCUUUUCCCUUCUGCGUGUAAACUGGCUAAUUCUUUCUUGGAGUAAACUUUUUCUUGUGAUGUGUCGCCAAAAGCAGCCAAUAAUAAUCAACACAUAGGACGAUGUCUUUUUCAUUUCUUUCCCUCAAACCAAAAAGUCAGCAGGCAUGGAGUUUGCUUUCUGAAUUACCGAGUAAAACCGCCUUACCACAUGUUUUGCUCCGCCUGGCAGAGACCUGAGUUUCCUGCCAGCUGCAUCUGUCUCCUCACUGCCCGCCACCUGGCCACACGCUGAGCCAGUGCCACGUACUUUAGGUUUUGGUUACAGGUGCACUGCACUUCAAAGUGCCGAUUUAUUAGCGAGAAUAAGAAAAGCUAACUGGUUUAACAAAGCCCCAGAUCUCAGUGGAUCAGUACAGUGCAAGUUUGCUUUCCAGUGAUGCAAGGGCCAACACAGCUCUGACUGAUCAGGUGGCCUGCCUCUAAGGGGUGACUCGGACUCACAGUCCCUCCAGUGUCUUUGACAUGUGGCUCUCAGGAGAGUCCCCCGUGGGAGCAUUUGUGUGCCAAGUUUGGAAUUGGUGCCUGUCACUUCUUCCAACCUUUCCUUGGCCAUGGCUUAGCUUGGUUCCAACCUAACUACAGGGAGGCUGGGAAAUGAUGAGCUGUGGGCCCAGUAGGUUUGGUAAACACAGCGUUAUCUCUGACACAGUACCACCAAAUCACAGGUUUCUAUCCUGUUAGAAACUGUUGCUGGCUUCCACAGCCCUCCCUGGAAGAGUUUCAAGGUCCUCAACUUGUUUGCGGCUACUAGUCUGGCCAUUUCCCUCCCCAAGUCAGACCCGAGCUCUGGUGGGCAGGCCUCCUCCAGGCUCCUGCCCUCACCUCAGCUCCUGGCCCUAGUACCCUGCCGCCCUCCCCUAUAGAAGUGACUGUCUUCUUUGUGUUUCCUCCAUCUGUCAAUGACCUCAUUCCUCUGGAAGGAAGCCCUUGCACUGGGAAUCUGCUCUCUGCUCUGAGGUCCUGAAAUGCAUGACUCUGACCCAUUCUGAGGGUAGGAGCCAAAUAAAGUGGGGACGCACGGGAGGCCCCCAAACAAGGCCUUGCCAAUGGGAAUACCUUCAUGAAAAAGUCAAAGCCAAGGACAACAGUGUGGCCAUAGUUGAGACCUGUCAGCACACCUGAGAUUUAGCAGUUUGGAGAGAACCUAGAGGCACAUUCAAGGGCCCUUGAGGAGAGCGCGAAGCGGAAGGAUAAUGGCACCACUGGAGACAGUGGUGUGGUUAGUGGAAGGGUGAGACGGCUGUCCACACCCCACUGCUCAGAGCUGUCCCUGCCUCCACAGGCAGGGUCCCACACCAGGGCACAGCUGCCCCGCAGGCACACAAAGGCUGUCACGGAAAGUCUGUGGCUCACAAGUGCUUGAAGGGGUGUCUGGGGUGCCUGCAGGGGUUUUAGCUUUCACCUCCGUAACUGUCAAGUGCUCCCUCAGAGGCAGUCUGAAAACUGGUAAAAGCUUAAAUACAGGCAAAACAAUGCAAAAUCAAAAUGAAACACUCAGAACAAAAGCCACAUUUUUACCAGAUCUACUUUUAUUUCAGAAGGAAGUUUGUAUUAUUUACUUUUGUUUAUAUACAAGUUCUUCACAUUUGUGUUUAAAAUGCACAGACCUCCCUUAGUUCUCUUGUUCCUGCUUAAAUUAGCCGUUAUUUUACAAUACAAAAAAUACCAAAAAAUUGCAGUCCUAAAUGUAUGUAUAACACCCACAAUCCCCAGCAAUGAAAUAGUUUACAAUACUUACUCCAUAUUUACAUGUGUAAUAGAUGCUAAAUUAUACAUAUUAACAAACUAAGCUUGAAUCCAAACAAAACUGUAAAUAACUAUAAAACAAAAACAUUUCCAGAGCCAGAAUUAGUUCAACGAAACAGGCUUCACUAGUGUUUAGAACGUUUUGUGCACAAAUUCAGUUACUGAAAGUUGAUUCUAUUAUUGCCUUUAAAAGAGAAGGCGCCAAUUUUCCUCUCCACUCCAAAACAUCUCCCUGUAGGCAGCGUGUUUGACUUUCCUCAAGGGGCAAUGUCUCUUGGUGGAAUGGCUAUCUAGAAGCCACUGCAGUGGCUGCAGCCAAGUUUGGUCAAUGGGGUCAUUUGGUCAUUUCAGAAGGUAGGCAGGGCAUGCCCAGAGGACAGGAGGCCUCUGUCAUCCUGGCUCUGUCCUAAGGAUGGCCAAUUCUCA